rnacentral:lncRNA from 1 species
GGGAUUACGGGAAGGAUGGCUAGAAGUUCAGCCAGCUCUCUGUGUCUGUGGUUCUGCACUGGCAGCCUCUUCUACCACCUUGCAGAAUUGAAAAUGUCCAGGGAAAAAAAUUUGCAUCUGCAAUGAACAUGUACAGACUUUCUUUAUCUUGUGAUUAUUCCCUAAACAAUGCAGUGUAACAACUAUUUACACAGCCCUGACAUAGUAUUAGGUAUUACAUGCAACCUAGAGAUGUAGAAAAGCAUACAGGAGGCUGAGCACGAGCUCUGCUUAAAUGCUAUGCCUUCUUAUCAAGGGACCGGUGCAUCAUCCAGGGGUCCUGAACCAAUCCCCUGCUGCUACUGAGACAGACUGUAGUUGGAAGAAAGGUAGACAAAGGAGAAGAGAGGAACGGACCACAGUGGCUUCUAACGAAUGCAAAGAAGAUGAAAGAAAUACAACAGGAGGACAGACCAGUGAGCCAAGAGAUGGGUACUGGAUGUUCCUGAAGAGGAGACCAGAACAAAGGCUUUACUAAAAAAGUAACUGCAAACAAAGGUUAACAGGGCAAAACUUUUCCAAGCUGGUGAAGGAAAAAUGGCUUCUAAAAGACCAUCUAGAAGAUCUACC